UACGGAGGGUGCAAGCGUUAUCCGGAUUCACUGGGUUUAAAGGGUGCGUAGGUGGGCAGGUAAGUCAGUGGUGAAAUCUCCGGGCUUAACCCGGAACUGCCGUUGAUACUAUCUGUCUUGAAUAUUGUGGAGGUAAGCGGAAUAUGUCAUGUAGCGGUGAAAUGCUUAGAUAUGACAUAGAACACCAAUUGCGAAGGCAGCUUACUACACAGUUAUUGACACUGAGGCACGAAAAGCGUGGGGGAUCAAACAGG
rnacentral:rRNA from 1 species